rnacentral:rRNA from 1 species
GACGAACGCUGGCGGCGUGCUUAACACAUGCAAGUCGAACGAAGUGGCGAACGGGUGAGUAACGCGUAAUCAACCUGCCCUUCAGAGGGGGACACCAGUUGGAAACGACUGCUAAUACCGCAUACUGAAGGGGGGGAUUGCGUCUGAUUGGCUAGGUGGGGGGGUAACGGCCCACCAAGGCGAUGAUCAGUAACCGGGCUGAGAGGAUGAACGUCCACAAUGGGACUGAGACACGGCCCAGACUCCGACGGGAGGCAGCAGGGGGGAAUCUUCCGCAAUGGACGAAAGUCUGACGGAGCAACGCCGCGUGAGUGAUGACGGCCUUCGGGUUGGAAAGCUCUGUUAAUCGGGACGCGGUACCGGAAUAGAAAGCAACGGCUAACUACGUGCCAGCAGCCGCGGUAAUAC